rnacentral:rRNA from 1 species
GACGAACGCUGGCGGCGUGCCUAAUACAUGCAAGUAGGACGCAGUUGCGAACGGCUGAGUAACGCGUAGGUAACUACCUCUUCGCGGGGGAUAACUAUUGGAAACGAUAGCUAAUACCGCAUACUCGUAGAUGGACCUGCGUUGUAUUAGCUAGUAGGUAGGGUAAUGGCCUACCUAGGCAACGAUACAUAGCCGACGGGAGAUGCUGAUCGGCCACCCUGGGACUGAGAAACUGGCCAGAAUCCUACGGGAGGCAGCAGUAGGCAAACUCCGGCAAUGGGGGGACGGCUGACCGUGCACAGCCGCCUGGGUGAGGAAGGUUUCCCGAUCGUAAAGCUCUGUUGUGAAGGAAGCGGUACGUACAGAAAAAGGAACGGCUAACUACGUGCCAGCAGCCGCGGUAAUAC